UACGGGGGGGGCAAGCGUUGUUCGGAAUUACUGGGCGUAAAGGGCUCGUAGGCGGCCAACUAAGUCGGACGUGAAAUCCCCAGGCUCAACCUGGGAACUGCGUCCGAUACUGGAUGGCUUGAAUCCGGGAGAGGGAUGCGAGAAUUCCAGGUGUAGCGGUGAAAUGCGUAGAUAUCUGGAGGAAUACCGGUGGCGAAGGCGGCAUCCUGGACCGGCAUUGACGCUGAGGAGCGAAAGCCAGGGGAGCAAAGCGGG
rnacentral:rRNA from 1 species